CUUCCCCCCCAGUUUCUCUUUCCUAUAUAAACCAGUCACGCGCUCUCUCAGCUCUGCCUUUGGUUCCCACGGGGCUCGCUUGGCUCACGUGACCCCUUCUUUCCUCUCUCUUCUCUUCUUCUCUCGCUCUCCCCACUCCUCUUCUCACGGAUGUUAGGGCUCCGAAACCUGGGACGAAUGGCUAACUGAGGUACCUGUUAACUUACCAAAGCAGAUGCUGGUCAGCGCUCCCAGCAUCACUCAGAACCUGUGGCUCCUCCCAGCACUUCUGACUCCACUCCCUGCCUCAAACCUCUCCCCCUUGGGGGCUGAACUUCCCCGCUUCCCCACCCCCAGCCUGAUCCCUAUAUAACUCAGACAUUUCGGCUAUGCUACCCUCUUGGCCUCUUGGCCCAAGCUAGCCAUCUUGGUCCGUGGCCUCUCUUGCUAUCUCAACCCCUCUCUCUUCUCAAGGUCUGGUUUAGUCUGAAGGACUCGUUCAGCCUGGACUCUUCCCUCUGCUUGCUUUCCCCCUUGAAUCUACAGUAAAAAUCUCCAUACUUUAGGAGUCGCUGUGUCCUCUUUUUUUUUCAUUCGAUGGCCAGGUACGUUCUGCUGGUCCAGUUCAGUCUGGAUCCUUUCAGAUGCCUCUGGCUGUUCUCUCCCUCAUAUCUACAAUAAAACCCUUCUCCUCAAACAUGACCUAGGAGUAGCCAUGUCCUCAUUUUCAUUCAGUCCUCCCACCCCCACCAGUGCAGGGAUUAUAGGUGUGAGCCGCCAUGACAGACUAGGAACAGGCCUUUCAUGCUACAGUCGCUCCCUCCCACCCCGUAUCCCAGGAGCUACCAUUACUAGUCACUCUACUCAUUAGAAAUGCUUUUGGCUGUUAGUAAUGAACAGCAUAUCCAGUGCAUCGUGGUUUAAGCAUAGAGCUAUGUUUCUUACCUUGUGAGUAAUGAAGAGGUCUGAAGCCCGGGGCUGGAGCUGCAACUCAAAAAGGGGCCCAAGCUGCUUCUAUUUUUCUAUGGCCUUAUCCUUCUUGUCACUUCGUGACCUUGAGAUUUACUUGUAAGAAUCCAGUCCACCAACAGGUCAAAACGUCGGAGGAAAGUGUGUACUGAUCAAGCCUGUCCUGUUUGUGAGGGUGAAGGCCUUCCCAGAGUCCUCAGCCAGCAAUCAACUCCUUACAACUCAGCUACUAAAGGAAGGUGUCACAGUGCCGAGGAGACUCUGCAUGGCCUAUACAGUCUUCAUCUUCCUCCAAGGCUCUCUGGCAGAAACAUCCCAUGAGAUCAACCCCUGUUUUCUGCCACACACAGAACUCUUCAGUCUGCUGUGGUUAACUAUGUGUGUUGUCUCCUCAUGUGUGCUUCAGUGUCCGGGAGGACCAGGAAUGUGACCCAUUCAUCUUUGUGUUUAGAAAGCAACUCAGCACAGGGUUGUGCGGAAUUCCAAGCUACCAAAAUUGAGAAAGUUGGUACCAAAGUUGGCCAGUUCUGGUAAUCCAGCUAUCCAAGGCUACCAAACACACAAAGAAGAAGGACGUUCAAUCCAGGGCAACAGGACGGGCUCAAAGUCACUUCUGGGAUGACCAGCAUAUUCUACAAUGCCAGCUUUAUGCAAGGCUGGGGGAAUCAGUGUAUCAACUGAACACAUCCCAACCAGACUCAAGAAUCUCUAAUGUAAAGAGACUGACAUUUAAUUCAAAUGCAACCAAGGAAGCCAA